GGCCGCCGCCCCCCGGUCCUCUCGGCCACACCCCCUUCCCAACUACUUAAAAGGCCGCUCCAGCGGCUCCGCUCUCCCUGUUCGGUGCCAGGGUGCUGGUGUUUCUGGGCUCCAGACUCCGGGGAGAGGCUCAGUGGUUCCGCCCUCCGAAACCGGGGCGAAUGGAGAAGCCAGCCAGCCAGCCAGCCAGACCUGGGUUCGAGUCAGUUAUGGUAUUUCCUGCUUAGAACCCAGGGGCCUUACAUAAGAAUACAGCUCAUGAAUCUUGGAAAGGAAGUGUUGCAGGGGCCGAAACCAGGACUCCAGAGUGCAGGACGCGGAGUUGACCUCGAGACUGGGUGACCUCCACACUGGAAAGGACACUUGAUGGGCAAGGCCGGCCACCCUUGGGUGCCAGCCACUCCCAAGCCUGCCAUCCCAUCCUCCUAGCCCAGCUCCCCACCACCACCCCGUAGCUCCAUCCUCCUUGUGAGGAGGAUGGAGGUGACUCUAGUGGACCCAGGCAGCCCUUCCUCAGUCUUUAAGGCCCCAGGCCUGGGUUUGAACUCUCAAAAGGCUCCAGGUUUCAUGGGAACGGUGUCCACUUGCCUUCUAGGGGGAGCGGCUCCAUAUCAAGGUGUUGAUGGCGCACGCUUUUAAUCCCAGCACUCGGGAGGCAGAGGCAGGCGGAUCUCUGUGAGUUCGAGGACAGCCUGGGCUACAGAGUGAGUUCCAGGAAAGGCACAAAGCUACACAGAGAAACCUGUCUCAAAAGACCAAAAAAAAAAAAAAGAAGAAGAAGAAGAAGGAUUGUGUGUUGUGUGUGCGUCCCACUGCGCUGGAGGCGGUGUGAGGACGUCUUUCCAGACCUUCACAUCGGGCUCUGGAGAUCAAACUCUUGGAGGCUUUCAUGGGGAGCCCUCUUACUGGCUGGGCCAUCUUGUGGCCCCAUUUCGAGUGCUUUUUGGUGAUCUGUCCUCCAUGAGGUGCCUUGGGAGAAAGGGAUCUGCCGGGGUCGGGGCUGAUGAGACUGAUAACGCAGUCAGAUUACAAUGGAUGACGGAAGUAACUUCCUGUGAACUUCAGUGGAACUCAUCCUGCUAAGCAAGGCCAAGACCUUAGUUCGUGGGGGGACGGGAGCGGCUGGUGUGGCCUCCCUACCCUACUUCUCAGAGCCUGACAUUUGUCUCAAUCUUGUCCAAGGAAGUCAAAACCUACAAGGCACCAUCAUCGUGAUACGUACACACCUGUGUUCCUUAAGCGGGCAUGCUUGCCUGUUCCGACACACACAAAAAAAAAACACUUUUUUUACAUAACACCAUUUUAAUGAAAAUGCUGUUUUUUCCAAAGUGAAAGCCGCUGUUACAGAAGCUCUGAAUGAUGCUUAUGUAACUCCAAACGUCUGGGUUUGGGUAGACUCUAAUUCAUUAACGGAAAAGAAUUCUGACAUAUUUGCCGGGGGAGUUCUGACAUAUCUGCCUCCCACCGUUGAGACAAUAGGCUUGGUAAAGUGAACCUUAAUGGGUUGCUAAGGGACCUUGUUGGACUUUGGCCCUGUCCUCUUGUGAGGUAGUUCCGUGGCAGGGGGAACAGUUCAGGUAGGACUGAGUGCUCGGGAAGACCUGCUCUUCCGUGACGUUGGAUGAAACCUCUCCUGUUCAUUUCCUCGUCCAUAGAUACAGUCUCUCCCCCCUUAUAUUUACAAAGUACUUCCAGAUAUAGCAUCUGACUCACUUGAUUUUUUUUUUCAAGGUUAGCAGAAUAGAUAUGUUCAUCUUACAGAAGAAGCAGCAGUGUGGUCUGGAAAGGUUAAUUGAUUCAUCUGAGGUCUCACAGCUUAGGAAGAAGCAGCCACAGUGGGAACAAGAGGUACCUUUGCCCCAUGUGUCGACGCCAAGUGUCAGUCAGUGUUCUUUUGCCCAGGGGUGCAGUGGCUCAGCCAGAAAUGCAUGUGAGACGACGGUGAUACAUGCAUCGUGAGACGACUCGUCCUUGGCAUGUGAAUACAGUCUGGUAUGUUCUAU